rnacentral:rRNA from 1 species
UACGAGGGGUGCAAGCGUUAUUCGGAAUUACUGGGCGUAAAGGGUGUGUAGACGGUAUGUUAAGUGUGCUGUAAAAUGCUUGAGCAUAAUUGAAGACGCGCGGUAGAUACUGGCGUGCUAGAGGAUGGAAGAGAGAAGUGGAAGUCCCGGAGUAGCGGUAAAAAGUGUAGAUCUCGGGAGGAACACCGAUAGCGAAGGCAGGUUCUUGGUUCAUUCCUGACGUUGAGGCACGAAAGCGUGGGGAGCAAACAGG